GACGAACGCUGGCGGCGUGCUUAACACAUGCAAGUCGAACGGUAAGGCCCUUCGGGGUACACGAGUGGCGAACGGGUGAGUAACACGUGGGUGAUCUGCCCUGCACUUCGGGAUAAGCCUGGGAAACUGGGUCUAAUACCGGAUAGGACCACUGCCUGCAUGGGUGGUGGUGGAAAGCUUUUGCGGUGUGGGAUGGGCCCGCGGCCUAUCAGCUUGUUGGUGGGGUGAUGGCCUACCAAGGCGACGACGGGUAGCCGGCCUGAGAGGGUGACCGGCCACACUGGGACUGAGAUACGGCCCAGACUCCUACGGGAGGCAGCAGUAGGGAAUAUUGCACAAUGGGCGCAAGCCUGAUGCAGCGACGCCGCGUGAGGGAUGACGGCCUUCGGGUUGUAAACCUCUUUCAGCACCGACGAAGCGCAAGUGACGGUAGGUGCAGAAGAAGGACUGGCCAACUACGUGCCAGCAGCCGCCGUAA
rnacentral:rRNA from 1 species